UGGGCCUCUCUGUCCACCUGUUUCCAGGCCGUUGUGGGCACCAAAUGGGGACAGACCCUGGUGGCAGGAGAAAGCCAGACAGUGGCAUCACCAGCUACCAGCUUGUCCCAUACACAGAUAGCCAUCGUGAGGGCUGGUAGGACACCAUUGUCAGGAUGCUGCGCUCUGCUCUCAUCGGCUCCUGAGAAAUGGGCCGGCCUGAAAUGGGAUCCUUUCGAGUCAGGCAGAGUUGAAGACUUGGUGGAAGUGAGCUGCCUGCUUCGAGUCAGUAAAGAAGAGAAGUAAAUAAAUGUACAAACACAACUCCGCAGAGGAACACUGCUGCAUAAAGACCGCAUGUAGGAGACGCCCACCCCACCCUGCCUCACAGGAUGUUGCUUCAUAAAGAUCGCACGUAGGAGAAGCUUACCCCACCCUGCCUCACAGGCUGUUGCUUCUGUGGCCUUCCUGGCCCACUUCCGCAUAUGUUUGGAGAAUCAGAUUGUUUAUUUAUUUUUAUGUUCACUGCAUGCUGAAUUAUGUAUUCAACUAGCGAACCCAGAUCUCAGACCAAAUAAAUUAUCCAGUGCCAGCCAAGCUCUGGCAUCUUAUCCAA